CAGCAGGGGGGUUGGACUCGAUGAUCUUCAGAGGUCCCUUCCAACCUUGCUGAUUCUGUGAUUCCUAUGGGCUCUCAGUGGGAUUUUGGGCGUUCAGUGCAUUGCGAGGGGAGCCAGCAGCUGCAGGGAUCAAGGCAGCUCCAGGCUUUGCCCUGGGGCUAUCAGAGGGAUGUUUUUGGAGGAAGUCAUGAAGUUCCUUUGGGUUUUGGACGGUUAAUAUGCUUAGCACCAAGCAGUCCAGCCCAUACCGCCAGGGCUGUGUGUGAAAAUGCCACCCCAAAACGCAGCUGUCCACACAACAUGGAACCCCAGGAGGUGCCACCACCACAGUGUGGUAACCCACCUGGGUUUGAUGGGUGACACUGACAUUUUGCCACAUCCCCACGGCCACUGUGGGGACACCGCAUGCCCCAGCCACGGGGACAGUGCUGGCCGCCAUUUUGGGAAGUUUCUGGAGGUUUGAACCUGGAGUCCCAGGUGCUGGCUGACCAAGGAGGGAUGAACAGUUUGUGGUUCCACUCCUGCUGCUCUUCUGCAGACCUGGCUGGAGAUCUUCACCUUCUGCUUUUGAAAUCUGAUUCCCCUUGUCAAUGUGUUGUUUUGAUACUUCAGCCAUUCUACCUGCUUCAGUCUGAGUGCCUAAAACUGAGAGGCUUGUAGGCGAGACUGGAAAAAUUGACUUAAAUAGCAGAAGACCUGAGCUUUUCAUGCAUGUGCCCUGUGGGUGCUGACAUGUGAGAGACCCUUGUGCCUCCCUGUCUCCAACUCCAGCAAAUCCCAGCUGGUCCUCCCAGCAUCGAGGCUGAGGCGAGGAAAGCUUUCAUUUUCAGACAGAUUAGUCUUGUCCCUCUUUGUGGCUUUUCUUUCAAGUGAAAAUUCUGCUUGGAGAGAAGCGAUCACUGGUGAUGGUAGAACACUGCUUUGGUAAGGAAAAAGGGCUGAAUUCAAUAACACACACAAUAGAACUCAUUUGUGACACUAAGUGGGAAAAUGAUGCUGUUCAGCUUUGCUCACUCAUAUGGGCAUUGGAAGUAUAAAAACGAGUCAAAAUACAGAUUGAUUCUGAAAUCAGUUCUUUUUUUUUUUUUUUUUUUUUUUUAUAUCCUUUAAAACCAUGGACAGGAAUGUACAGCUCCACAAAAACGGAGGCCAAACAUACCAAACCAAAACAUUUCCUGGAAUGCUGCAUGACAGUUUUUCUAAGGUUAUUUCCUUUGAACCACAGUCAGUUUAAAAGUGUCUUCCAUUUGCAGUCAAAAUAAUAAUGGUACACAUUGCACACUCCUUGAAACACGAUCUUUGUCAUAGGCACUGUGAUUAUAUUUCUUUUCUUUUUAUUCUUACCAGUGAAAAAAAUAAACACAGUUGAAAAUAGACAGCUUUUUCCCCUUUGUCAAUGUGUUUAGGCUAUGUGGUUAAGUGGUACUGUCCCCAGCUAUUUAGAUGAAGAAACUUUAAGUUGGAGCAUUCAUUUUUGUGUUCUAAAAAAAGUUUGUGUAUGUGGUGUUACAUAUAUAUUUAUAUAUUAUUCACCAGCCCCAAAUCCAAAUUGAGUGUUUAUUAGUGAUUUUAUUGACAGCAGAAUCAAUUUUGCUGGUAUUUUAGUUGUCUUAUUUCAGUGAAUGGUUCAAGACUUUCAGCUGUUAAAAAGGUUUCACAAGACUCAUCCAAUGCAUUAGGAAUGCUCAGAUUUCAUGUCUACAUGUUAGGUGCUGUUUCAUGCGUAUCUACAGAUCAGUUUUAAGGUAAACAUAAUUUUAUGUGAUAUGGUGGUCAAUAGAAGAAAGUAUGAAAUCAAGUAUAACUCCAGAAUAGAAAAUAAUCUGUUUAAAUGAAGCUUGAUUGACUCUACUUGGUUAGUGUUCAGUAAAAAGUCUGAAAUAUUGUACUUGUGACUAUUAAAACUAGUUCUGGGAACCAAUCACUCCACGUUUAUUUUUGGACAUCUUAAUGUCCUUGUUCGCUAAAUGGCGAGGACUGAAAAGCAAUUUAACCAAUAAGUCAGGCACAUGAGUUGCAAAGGCAAUUCUUCCCUUGCAGUUAUUCUAACUAUCCAAGCUGGAUAUUCAUAGUGAACAGCAAACCAUGUCUCCAUUACCUUCAUUCCAUUUCUAAGUGCUUUCAGUACGGCCAGUUGCCCAGGAUUGCAUCUGCAGAUGGUGGGAGAGCAGUGCAGGGCACCGCCGGCUGUUCUGUGAGCUAAUUAAGGAAGACAAAGUGCUGCGACGCGGAUCCUACCCACAAGGACGGAAAGUUGCCCAGCAGCUAUAGUACCUCCUUAGAGCACUGGUGUUUGCAGAGUGAUGUGUUAUUCUCUGAAGCUGCCUACAAAUGGUUUUACAUUAAUGUGAACACAAGACUACUUAGUGAAGAAACUGAAAUGAAACCCCAACUUUGUGGUCAGUCUGUAUAGGGUAACAGAGGAGACUUUUUUAAAGGACUAUGAUUUGUAUUUUUUUCCCAAGUCACCCUUUUAUCUCAGUCCUGGGACAGAUGCUCACAUUUAACUUAGGAAGCCUCCUCUACUGUGAAAUGUGGUGUUCACUCCUUGCCUGACCAAGGGGUCAAACCUGCAGGAUGCGGGCAUGCUCUGGUCUCAGCACAGAGCACUGCCAGCAAGACUGACGGGAGGAUUGUCUUACCAGCAAGCAAUGUGGGGCUUUGUGUGACACCCAGCAAUAGGGUGUCACUGCUGCCUAUUCACCAGAAAUGCCUAUUAGUCAAAUGAAACUGAACUGCAAGUUGCAUGCUGUCCUUAGUGAGGACAGCUAGUGGGAAAGUCCAUUCUGAGAUGCUACAGACCAUUGACAAUUUAGAACAGGCUACCAGUUUACAUACAUGGCACAAUCUGCAAAUGUAUGUGACCAAACCCUACAGAGCCAUUUUGGCAUUAACAACAUGUGAAAAUAUUAUCAUACUAGCGGAAAGGUUUCUGGUAGUGAUCCCUUACUUAAGCCCCUGUCCCCUCUGCAGAGAAUGCAGAUAACAUCUCUUGCCUUAGCUUUGCUUCACUGUUUAUAAUGUUUUAAUUUUUUUUUAGUGUUUUACUUGGAAGAAAGUAAGUUUAUUAAGAUGAAAGAAAGCCUAGAUAAUCAUACACACAUACAAAACCUGCUCAGAAUAAUCCUCACCUGCUGGGGUAUCAAUUCUCUCUGAGGUCAGGAUUUCAAGGAGUUAGUCUCCUGAGCGGCUUUGGGAGAAAAGCUGCCAGAGUUAGCUGAGAUGAAAAUGCAGACAGGCUGACUUUACCUUCACUGUUUCACUAUAUAAAAUAAAGAGAAACAGCAUAGAAUUUAUAUUUAAAAUAUAAACAAAACCAAUAAUAUGAGAAGAUCAACGUGGCAGCCCUCUCACACCAUCCAUGCUUGGAUUCUAAUGCAAACAGUUGCUGCAGAAUAAGAUGGAGAUUUUUGCUUGUACACAUACAUAAUUUCGGACUGCAAGACCCAGCUCUGUUCUGUAACAGGAACACUUCAGACCAAGGUCAGAACUGAAAUUAAAGGAACAGAACCAGCUACUUUGCUAAAACCCGAUCUAUGAUGACAACUCUAAGAAGAGUUUGGAAGCAGCUUCACCUGUGCAAUAAUCAAGGAGAACAUGCAAUGAAGUAUAAAAAAUGAAGUUAGUUGGAAUCAAACUGCUUUAAUGCUGUUCAGAAAUUAUCCUUAUGGACAGAGGCAUUUCUGCUUGGAUCGCUCCAGCUAAAUUGUGAGUAACAGCUCAGUUCAAACCAUGAGCCAAAUCCUCAGAAACCUCCAAAAUUCAGCACUUGAAAAGGAUUCCAGAAUUUGUAAAUCACUUACUAAAAAAAAGUGAUCUAGUGCAGAUGACUAAAAUUUCACUUACAUGUGAGAGAUCUCAGAGAGAAAUGAAACUGAGGUAAGCUUCUCAGAUGUUGUGUCCUAGCAUGUCUCAAAAUCCAUUCCUCCUCUCCUGUGGAAAAAGCUGUGCCGUAGCCAGUGAAGCUCCCUACCUAUUCUAGACCUUUUGGCAUAUUAUUAUUUGCAUUUUGUUGUAUUCUUGUACUAUUAUUUCUAUUCUUACUUUCCAGAUAUUUACACAACUAAGAGCUUAUUCCAUCCACAUCAAAACGAGAUGUACUUAAAACAGUGUUUGCCAUGUAACUCUUUUGAUUGUUUCAUAAGCUUCGGCAUUAUUUGUAUUAUGUUAUUUAAUGUAGUGCACACUAGGGGUCUUAACCUUUGGAGACAUUUUAGUGUGAAUCAGAGGCAGAAAGCUUCACUUCAGAUGGUUUUUGGUACCCUGCAGGGAUCAGAGACUUCUGGUCCUGCUUGCACUGCUAAUCGUCCCAGAACAAGUGCUGACCACUACUCCUACUGCCAAGCCAUUCAUCCUUCAUAGGCAACAACAUGCAACUGGUCGAGGUGUUAAUUCAUGGGAAAACACCAGAGGACUUGAAACUAAAAAAAAGGAUUUAUCAUGGAGCCUACUGGGAAAAGGGAACCGCUGUCUCUGCCUGACCUGUGGCUGUUCUUUAUGUUCACCUUUGGCCACCUGAAUAUCCAGGUCAGACAAGUGGCAAUACUUUGUAUCAUAUGCACACAAGCAGUGGGAGUUAAUGUAUGGACAAAGAAACCUGAAGAGGAUCGCUGACUUGGUGACUGGAAAUGCUGGGAGCUGGUAACCGUGAAGGAAGGGCAGGGAAGCACCCUGCAGCACAGCCUGCACAAAUCCUCUCUUGAGGGAAACUUCUUCUGCAAGGGCUACUUACAGCAUGCAAAUGGACAUGUAUAGAAUUUUAAAGGUUUUAGGCCUUAAAUUUACUUGGUAGCUGUCCCUACUGUCCCAGAAAUUAGGCUGUAAAUUCUAUUCUUGAUUCCAAUGAUAAAGUAAAAUGAACGUGAAUAAAGAUGCUGAAUACUGUAAAUUCAGUGACAUCUGAAGCUACGAGACAGCACAGAAGUGGGCCUUGCAAUGCAAGAGCAAGGAAAAAGGACAAGAUACCCAGUCACUACAGUGAUGUGGUACAGCCCAUGGUCAGUGUUAAGGAAAAAUAAAUACAAAUUGCAUGUAGGUCUGCUCCUGGCAGUGUUACAGAAUAUAUUACUUUUCAAAUAUAUGACUAAAAGCUGUAGUACAAAUAGAGAAUUUCCAUGCCACUUACAUACAUUAGGUCCUAUACUUUAUGUUCUUCAGUCAUCAGUAAAAAGCUCUUCAUUACACCUAUAAUUGUUCCCUCAUAGAAAAAGAAAAACAAACAAAAACCUGUAGGUUGUUCUGCUGUUUAUUUUUAUAUCGGGGAAAAGUUUCACAAGAACAGCCAUAUGGGGUCCUGGGAAAUCACUCCCCUUUUAUAGGACUGCUGACCAAAGAGGAUGCUGCUAAAUCCUUUCGAGGAAAUAAGGCUGAGUGCAUCCUGUCAGUGUACCAUGAUCAUCCUGUCCCUAUUGAAGAUGUUGAAAAUGGUGCUGUAAUAAUAACAAAUCAAAACAUUAUUACCUUUGUUCAAGUGAACGAUAAAAGUACUAACAAUUUGGGAAUUUCUGCCCCUUUUCCUUUCAUCAAAUAUUACUAACAUGGUUGUUAAUAAAUUAAUGUAAGGUUUUUUUUUGGCAGUUUCAACAGAUAAACCAGUAUAUGGCUUUUUACUGUCAAGAUGAAAGCCCCUUUACACUGCACAGCAUGCACUGGGGAUGACUGCUUCCUCCCCCACUGCAGGUUUCCCCAGCUCUGGGCUCAGUGUUGGCUUCCCACUGCCAGUGAUACGCUCUGUGACCAUAUUUCUUACAAGAAACUACCAAUCUCUGUGGCCCAAUCCACUAACUGCUGUGUAAUAAAAAUGAAAAACACCUCGUGAAUAAGUUUACUGCUGUAAUAGCUGUGUCAUUUUUAUCUCAUGCGUGAACUUUGUUACUUAAAAUACAAAAAUCCUGUUUGAUAACGGUGAUUUGGAGGUGCCAUGACUAAAACCUGAAAAGUGAAUGUCCCAGUUGUUUUCACGUGGGUAGACAUCAAAACAAAGGGAGCUUGCUGUCAUAUUGCAGUAAUAACACAGCACAAAAAGAAAAAAGUGUGCAUCCCCUUAUAUUUUCAGCAAGAUAAAGAACUAUAUUCCUCUAUGAAUUGAUCUUUGUUUUUUAAAGCUGAAAAAUCUAUACUAAAUAUUUGCUUUUUCCCAAUCUGCUUGAAGAUGAACAUUUUAAAUUCAUGCCAAGAUAACAAAUCACUCAUAUAAACUCAUUGGUUUCCCAAGGGAAAUACAGUUUACAGGGAAAUUGUAUUUUAUUGAAAGGCAAUUGAUAUUUAUGCCCUUUUCAAAAACAGUUUUUAUUCUGGGUCUGCUCCUUCAAGCUUUAAUUUCAUUUGCUGCAGCUAGGACUCUGAAAGAGUUCUUCUUUGGUAUUCAUUUUCAUAACGUCUUUUUAAGAGCUCAAGUAACGUUCAAAAUUAGACUGAAGGAAUCUGGGGAUGGAUUGGGAAGAGGAAUCCAAUUUUUUUUCCUCCCUACAUGAGAAGUAGAUAUGAAUUAUCUGGUCGAACAUUUUGAUUCAGGAGCUAGUACAUGCUUGAUCAUAUACAUGCUAUAGUCUCAUUCUUUUUUUCUUUCUUUCUUUUUUUUUUUUUUUUCCCCCAAAUUUAAACCAGGUUCUUCAGAGGAUUUUGAUGAAUAACAUUAGAAUUAGCUACAUUUAAGUGGUGCUAAGUUCAUUCCUAUUGGGCCCCAGUCAAUGGUAUUCAGCCCCUAUAAGAGGAUUGAUGUGGCAAGCCAAGCACUUGGCCGACAAACCUUGUACUGCAUGUAGUGAGGGUGUUUGCACACUGAUAUGAGUCUGAUUUUCAUAUGCAGAAUGAAGAUAGCUCCAUAAAUCUAUGUAGAAGUCCCUGCAUCUUGUGAUAGGCUACUAAGCUUCAUGACACUAAACUGGACAUUGAGUAGGAGAGACUUGGGACAUGACUAAUAUAUCAUUAAUAUAUCAGCACUGAGUACAGCAGCUGAGAGCUUGGCUAGGUGACUAGAUACCAAAAGCAUGUUGAAGAGCUUUCUUCACUGGUAUGUUUGUUUACCUAAAUGUGAUCCUUCAAGAAUUAAAACAUUUCAGCUUUGGGUAAUAUGGAUGUACUGAAGAGUUUUUCAGUGUCUGAUGACAUGAGAUGUGCCCAUACUCACCCACAUUUCCUACUUCAAAUGUUGGGAUUGUUUGACUGCUUUUUAGGGUUAUUUUGGACUGUUUUGAAGAAAAAGAAAAAAUCAAAACAUUCCUCUCAUAAUUCUGCUCCCCAGCAUUACACUGAAUAGAUGCAGGCUUCAUCUGCUCAGUUCAGAGAAAGUUCACCUCCAUUUAUUUAGCUGUUCUCCUGGUUUACUCGAGUGUAGCACUGUGCGUGUGAAUUUUCACACCAGACUACACUUGAACUUCAUAGGUCAGAUAUAAUUUUUAAUUAUGUUACAGGUAAACGACGGAGUUCAGAGCCUCUUUUAGGCAGAUUACAGUCUGUUUCCAAGGCUAGGAACAGAUGCAAUUUUAGGAAUAAACUACGUUUCGCACUGAUACAUCCCCUCUGAUCUGCUGAGUUCAAUGGGACCAUAAGGUUCAGAAGUAAAGCAAAAUUUGGCCUACUAUUUCAGCUGUUUCAGUGCAACUUUAAGGAAUCUUUUGUGCCGUCUACGAAACUAAUUGGCAGACCUCAGAGAAAAUGUUGUCCCAUUCACUGUAAAGUAGGAGGGUCCAUGGGGGAAAACAGUUGCAUUAGAGAAACACACUUCACAUCAAGGCUACCUAUUUAGAUGUUUGAAAACCUUUUUCUUUUCCUCUGUAAACCAUGACAGUUUCAACAGGAUCUGAAAUGAUACUCUUAACAAAUAAUACGCUAGUCUGUCAUAUGGUUAAUAUUAACGUCUCUCUAUUCAAACAUGCUGAAAACUGAAUAGAACAGUUAACAUAUAACAGUCACACAUCCUUUGCUGAAUACAAGAUCGCAUCUCUAACAUGAACUGAAGAUAUCCUCACCAUUUCAGAUCUUCAUCUGUCAUUCAAUCAAACAUUUUAUUGUCUUAAAUACAUUGCUCUUGCCCUCCUUCUGGGUCUUUUGGGGGUGCUGAGUGAACACAUUCUCUCAAUAAAGGCAUUGCUUAUGAUAUAGUUCUUUCUUCAACAGAAAUCUUGCAGUGUGUUUCCAAUACAUUGCCAAAGGUGAGAUUGCACAGUUUGCUAGGAUUUGGGAGCAGGUAGGCCUUACAGUUGGAUUGAAAAGAUUUAGCAUUGAAACAGCUAUUUGGGCAGGAUUCUGCAUUUUACUGCAGAGAGGCCAUCUCUUGAAGAAGUAAAUGGUGAACAAUUAUCUAAUUGUGAGCACGCUUCACAGAUUAUUGACUCAGAGCUUUACACAGUAGCCAUUUUGUAAAUUGCAGGUAUCUGUACAGGGCUUUUGGGCAGAUGCAAGCUCACUUCGCUCAUGUUCUGAGCUGGCAAGAUGCAAACAGCUACCAGAAAAGUCACACAAAUGUACUGAUGUGAAAUUGAGACCCACCUAACACACCUCGUCUUUCAGAGGGUUUAUUUGGUGUGGGCUUGGUGCCAUGCUGACUGCAGGCAGCUCAGCUCAUGCCCAGUGAGAUUGUGCCCAGCCACCACAUAGUGCAGAAAUAUGUCAUGGAGAAACCGAUGCCAGCCUAAAGUCUCGUCUUACUGCUACAAGAAAAGCUCUGUAGCUUUGAGGAAGGGAGUCUGAAUGAAGCAUGCUCCACCCUGGGGCAUAAAGCAUAGUUUGCCCUCAAAUACACUUUUAUUGAAAACACACAGCAAAGAUUACAGCCAUAGAAAGUUUUGUAAACAAGACAAUUUCAUCAACUUUUAUCUUAAAAAAAAAUAAUCAAAAAAGCACAAACACACAUAAACAAAACAAACAAACAACAACCAAAACAAAAUAAAACAAAAGAAA